GAUGAACGCUAGCUACAGGCUUAACACAUGCAAGUCGAGGGGCAUCAGGAAGAAAGCUUGCUUUCUUUGCUGGCGACCGGCGCACGGGUGAGUAACACGUAUCCAACCUGCCCUUUACUCGGGGAUAGCCUUUCGAAAGAAAGAUUAAUACCCGAUGGCAUAAUGAUUCCGCAUGGUUUCAUUAUUAAAGGAUUCCGGUAAAGGAUGGGGAUGCGUUCCAUUAGGUUGUUGGUGGGGUAACGGCCCACCAAGCCUUCGAUGGAUAGGGGUUCUGAGAGGAAGGUCCCCCACAUUGGAACUGAGACACGGUCCAAACUCCUACGGGAGGCAGCAGUGAGGAAUAUUGGUCAAUGGGCGCUAGCCUGAACCAGCCAAGUAGCGUGAAGGAUGAAGGCUCUAUGGGUCGUAAACUUCUUUUAUAUAAGAAUAAAGUGCAGUAUGUAUACUGUUUUGUAUGUAUUAUAUGAAUAAGGAUCGGCUAACUCCGUGCCAGCAGCCGCGGUAAUACGGAGGAUCCGAGCGUUAUCCGGAUUUAUUGGGUUUAAAGGGAGCGUAGGUGGACUGGUAAGUCAGUUGUGAAAGUUUGCGGCUCAACCGUAAAAUUGCAGUUGAUACUGUCAGUCUUGAGUACAGUAGAGGUGGGCGGAAUUCGUGGUGUAGCGGUGAAAUGCUUAGAUAUCACGAAGAACUCCGAUUGCGAAGGCAGCUCACUGGACUGCAACUGACACUGAUGCUCGAAAGUGUGGGUAUCAAACAGGAUUAGAUACCCUGGUAGUCCACACAGUAAACGAUGAAUACUCGCUGUUUGCGAUAUACAGUAAGCGGCCAAGCGAAAGCAUUAAGUAUUCCACCUGGGGAGUACGCCGGCAACGGUGAAACUCAAAGGAAUUGACGGGGGCCCGCACAAGCGGAGGAACAUGUGGUUUAAUUCGAUGAUACGCGAGGAACCUUACCCGGGCUUAAAUUGCAGUGGAAUGAUGUGGAAACAUGUCAGUGAGCAAUCACCGCUGUGAAGGUGCUGCAUGGUUGUCGUCAGCUCGUGCCGUGAGGUGUCGGCUUAAGUGCCAUAACGAGCGCAACCCUUAUCUUUAGUUACUAACAGGUCAUGCUGAGGACUCUAGAGAGACUGCCGUCGUAAGAUGUGAGGAAGGUGGGGAUGACGUCAAAUCAGCACGGCCCUUACGUCCGGGGCUACACACGUGUUACAAUGGGGGGUACAGAAGGCAGCUAGCGGGUGACCGUAUGCUAAUCCCAAAAUCCUCUCUCAGUUCGGAUCGAAGUCUGCAACCCGACUUCGUGAAGCUGGAUUCGCUAGUAAUCGCGCAUCAGCCACGGCGCGGUGAAUACGUUCCCGGGCCU
rnacentral:rRNA from 1 species